UUUGCAGUUGAAUCCCAUCACCCACUAAUUGAGGCCCUGGUCACAGAAGGGUGGCGAAGACUCGAAAGGCAAGUGCUCUGGGCUUGUCAUAGAGGAACAGGGCAUUCUGUGGGAGACUAUAUGGAAUAUAGGAAAAGAAUGAAACUUUACAGGGAAAAAGUGUACUGGGCCCCGGGGAUGUAGCUCAGUCCGCAGAAUGUGUGCUUGCCUACGAGAGGCCCAGGAUUCCAUCCCUAGCCCUGCAUCAGAAUUCAGGAUCAUCCUUGGCUUUGAGGCGUCUUUGAGGCUUGACUGGGAUACAUGAGACCCUGUCUCAAAAGAAAAAAAA
rnacentral:lncRNA from 1 species